UACGUAGGGUGCGAGCGUUGUCCGGAAUUACUGGGCGUAAAGAGCUCGUAGGUGGUUUGUCGCGUUGUUCGUGAAAACUCACAGCUUAAACUGUGGGCGUGCGGGCGAUACGGGCAGACUGGAGUACUGCAGGGGAGACUGGAAUUCCUGGUGUAGCGGUGAAAUGCGCAGAUAUCAGGAGGAAUACCGGUGGCGAAGGCGGAUCUCUGGGCCAUUACUGACGCUGAGGAGCGAAAGCGUGGGGAGCGAACAGG
rnacentral:rRNA from 1 species